rnacentral:snRNA from 1 species
AUGCUCGUUUCGGUAACACAUAUACUAAAAUUGGAACGAUACAAGAAGAUUAGCAUGGCCCCUGUGCAAGAAUGGCAUGCAAAUUUGUGAAGCGUUCUAUAUUUUU